rnacentral:rRNA from 1 species
AUUGAACGCUGGCGGCAGGCCUAACACAUGCAAGUCGAACGGUAACAGGAAGCAGCUUGCUGCUUCGCUGACGAGUGGCGGACGGGUGAGUAAUGUCUGGGAAACUGCCUGAUGGAGGGGGAUAACUACCGGAAACGGUAGCUAAUACCGCAUAACGUCGCAAGACCAAAGAGGGGGACCUUAGGGCCUCUUGCCAUCGGAUGUGCCCAGAUGGGAUUAGCUAGUAGGUGGGGUAACGGCUCACCUAGGCGACGAUCCCUAGCUGGUCUGAGAGGAUGACCAGCCACACUGGAACUGAGACACGGUCCAGACUCCUACGGGAGGCAGCAGUGGGGAAUAUUGCACAAUGGGCGCAAGCCUGAUGCAGCCAUGCCGCGUGUAUGAAGAAGGCCUUCGGGUUGUAAAGUACUUUCAGCGGGGAGGAAGGGAGUAAAGUUAAUACCUUUGCUCAUUGACGUUACCCGCAGAAGAAGCACCGGCUAACUCCGUG